GAUGAAGAACGUAGUGAAAUGCGAUACGUAAUGUGAAUUGCAGAAUUCAGUGAAUCAUCGAGUCUUUGAACGCACAUUGCGCCCCCUGGUAUUCCGGGGGGCAUGCCUGUCCGAGCGUCAUUGCUGCCCUCAAGCACGGCUUGUGUGUUGGGCCUCCGUCCUCCUCCCGGGGGACGGGCCCGAAAGGCAGCGGCGGCACCGCGUCCGGUCCUCGAGCGUAUGGGGCUUCGUCCCGCUCUUGUAGGCCCGGCCGGCGCUUGCCGACACAUCAAUCUUUUUUCCAGGUUGACCUCGGAUCAGGUAGGGAUACCCGCUGAACUUAAGCAUAUCAAUAAGCGGAGGA
rnacentral:misc_RNA from 1 species